rnacentral:rRNA from 1 species
UAGGGAAUUUUCCGCAAUGGGCGAAAGCUGACGGAGCAACGCCGCGUAAGCAAGACGGCCUUCGGGUUGUAAAGCUCUGUUCUCCGGGAAGAAGAUGAUAGAGCCUGUAACUGUCGCAUCGACGGAAUCA